GUGCUCACUUCGGCAGCAUAUAUACUAAAACUGGAAUGAUGCAGAGAAGACUAGCAUGGCCCCUGGACAAGAAUGACAUGCAUAUUUGUGAAGCAUUCCAUAUUUUU